AAGACAAAAAUCAACCCCCAAACCCUAAUCUCUUCACAACAGCCCUCACCCCUCUUCUCCCAUCUCUCCUCUUUCUCUCUCUAUCUCCCUCAUUUCUCAAAAACCCUACGAUAAAAUCAUCAACGCUGCCUUUCCCAUCAUCGGUCGUCCCUCUCCUCCACUAGUGCCUCCUCUGUUGCCCUUUCCUUGCUAGCACCACCGCUGCACCAGCCAUGGUCGCCGACCUCACCUCCACUGCCAGCCACUGGCGAAGCCACCCCUCCAGCCGCCGCGUCGUCAUAUCCACCAUCCACCGCCAACAGCCUGCCCCACGCCGUCGAAACAGAUCCAAGACCCCGACCGAACCAGCCCCAUCGUCAACCCCUCUCCCUCUCUGUCAGAUGGAACCUAAUUACAGUUGGAUAGAUCAACACAAAAUAUUGAUAGUAGAAUGGGUGAGGCUGAGAAUGAAGAUGUGGAUUUGUUGUUUUUAGUCUUUUGUAUGUUUUAUAGUUUGGAUUUGUAACCUCAAUAAAUUUUAUAAAUAAUUUGAUUUUUAAUGUUUGUAUUCUUAUGGUGGUUGGUUGAUUGUAUAUUAAAUGAUUGGUGGGCUA